UCGCACGAUUACGACGUGAAGAUGCGCAACGUCGUGAAAUUCCUCGAGAAGGGCGACAAGGUGAAGGUGACCCUGCGGUUCCGCGGGCGCGAGAUGGCGCACCAGAACCUGGGGCGGGACCUGCUUCAGCGGGUGGCGGAAGACGUCAAGGAGCUCGGCAAGGUCGAGAACAUGCCGAAGAUGGAAGGCCGCCAGAUGGUGAUGAUGAUCGGGCCGGCAAAGUAACGCCGGCCGGCCAUCCCGAGGACGACGCGCCCCCGCAGGUCAGACCGGCGGGGGCUUUUCUUUGUGCUGAGCUUGUCGUCCUCGGCUA
rnacentral:misc_RNA from 1 species